rnacentral:lncRNA from 1 species
CAUUUGUUAUGAUAUUGAUCAAAGUGAGGUUGUUCAUCCACCCACAAUUUCACUGCUUUCACACCACCUAUGUAGCCAUUGCUAAUGGCAAGAUUCUAACCAUAAUGUCCACCAUUACCACCCGAGGGAGUCACUUUACAAUCCUUGCAUUGAUUAGUAUAGUUUUGUGCAAAUGCUAUAAUUUUGUUGUCCCAAACAAGAUUUGGAAUAUUAAAACCUUCAAUAGCUGAUCUUGUUGCGUUGUGCGGUUUCAGAUAAUCGGUCGGUGAGCCUUGGGCGCUUGUAAUGUCACUGCAACUCACAAUGAGUAUCAAAUUUAAAAUACACAAUAUUGAAAAUGAACCCAUUUUUGUUAUCAAUAUAAAUUUCUUGUUGUAAGAUGAAAAUUGUUAGAACUCUAAUGAUGUUUUUAUAGAGUUUUGUCUAACAAGGGAAUUUGGUAAUGACAUUAGCUAUUUAUCUUUACAAAAAGAAAAUUUAAAUAUUUUUUUAUAAAAAUGAUUUUAUUUUUAUUAUAAUUGAUUCAAUAUCAUUUACAGGGGGAUUAAAUAAUACAAUUUUAAAAUAUAUAAAAAAUAUAAAAUUUAACUCACCUGACAUUAACAUAUAUUAUAUGCUGAAAACAUAAGGGAAUCUAGAAUGAAAUAAUGCGCANUUUACAAAAAGAAAAUUUAAAUAUUUUUUUAUAAAAAUGAUUUUAUUUUUAUUAUAAUUGAUUCAAUAUCAUUUACAGGGGGAUUAAAUAAUACAAUUUUAAAAUAUAUAAAAAAUAUAAAAUUUAACUCACCUGACAUUAACAUAUAUUAUAUGCUGAAAACAUAAGGGAAUCUAGAAUGAAAUAAUGCGCACGGGGACCUUUGAGAAGAAAUCUUGGUAUUACAAAGAGGGAAUAGAAAACAACUACUUCACAAAGGUUAAAGUGAAUCUCGCUUACAUUGCAGAGGGUGUUGUAUAUAUAACUCAUAUUUAGAAUAAUCCAAGUUACCAUGCUCACAAGGUAAAACAUCGCAACAAAGGGUUCCCCCCCCAAAAAAAGUGAGAUGAACCAUAAUGAAAUUAGUCUCGUAAUUAUUUAUAAUAAAGAAGAGACUUCUAACUCUAGUAUACAUAUAAACAUUUGUUUAGAUAAAUUUAAUAUAUUAUAAAAUUGAUAGAUUAUUAUCUCUUUAAAGAGUGUGAUGUGAGUGAAUAAGAUGAUAAUGAAUUUCUGCCGUUAAUUUUUUCAUACAUUCACACACUCAUUACUUUAAUAAUCGUUUGAUUAUAACCAUACACUUUAUAAAAAACAAGAUUUAUUAUUCUAUUAUAUUUCAAAAAGUCUAGUAUUAAAUAUGAACCAUUUGAUUUUUAUCAUGGAAAAUUUGACAACCUGAAUUCACUAAUAAAAUAGUACAAAUGUGAGUCAGGUGAAUAUUAUUUUAUAAUUUAGAAACAUUACAACACAAUACAUGAGUCAUAAACAAAUUAUGAUUAAAUAAUGAAGCACUUAGAAUGGAUCUUGGCCUGGAAUGUUGCCAGGAGGAUAAUAAUUGCAAGUAAUAAAUGUGCCUCCAUUAUCACAUUUUACUUUGCCACAUCCAACACGUAAUGAAUCAUUCCAAAUCACCUGAGUAUAAUGAAGACAUUCACCAUUAAUGCAUUUGUUAUGAUAUUGAUCAAAGUGAGGUUGUUCAUCCACCCACAAUUUCACUGCUUCCGCACCACUUAUGUAGCCAUUGCUAAUGGCAAGAUUCUCACCGUAGUGCCCACCAUUACCACCCGAGGGAAUCACUUUACAAUCCUUGCGUUGAUUAGCAUAGUUUUGUGCAAAAGCCGCAAUUUUUUCGUCCCAAACAAGAUUUGAAAUGUUAAGACCUUCAAUAGCUGAUCUUGCUGCGUUGUGCGGUUUCAGAUAAUCGAUCGGUGAGUCUUGGGCGCUUGUAAUGUUACUGCAACUCACAAUGAGUAUCAAACUUAAAAUACACAAUAUCGAAAAUGAACCCAUUUUUGUUAUCAAUAUGAAUUUCUUGUUGU